GUACACGCUGUGACUAGCAUAUCAAUAAGCGGAGGAAAAGGUACCUACGCUUAGGAUGUUGACGAGACUGUCGAUCUCAUCUAUACAUGAGUCUGUGCAUAUCAAUAAGCGGAGGAAAAGAAACUAACAAGGAUUCCCCUAGUAACGGCGAGUGAAGCGGGAAGAGCUCAAAUUUGAAAUCUUAAAGGGUUUCCCUUUACGAAUUGUAGUUUAAAGAAGUGUUUUCUGUUGAGGUUUUGGUAAAAGUUCUUUGGAAUAGGACAUCAUAGAGGGUGAGAAUCCCGUAUUUGACCUUUACUUUCAACUUUGUGAUACACUUUCAAAGAGUCGGAUUGUUUGGGAAUGCAGUCCAAAAUGGGUGGUAAAUUUCAUCUAAAGCUAAAUAUUGGCGAGAGACCGAUAGCGAACAAGUACCGUGAGGGAAAGAUGAAAAGAACUUUGAAAAGAGAGUUAAACAGUACGUGAAAUUGUCAAAAGGGAAGCGUUGGACACCAGUGUUGUUUUUCUGAAAAUCAAUUAAAGAACUGUUUAUGCUAAGUUGUUUAGACUUUAUCAGCUAUCUGUUUAGGUUUUGAGCUUUUCUUUAAUGCACUUUUCAGUUAACAAGUCAACAUCAAUUUCUUUUGCUGUAAAAAAGCUUGAGGAAGGUGGCUUGAGAUUCGUCUUAAGUGUUUAUAGCCUCUUGCCUAUGCAGUCGGAGAGAUUGAGGUCUGCAGCGUAGAUCCUUCGGGGCUAAAUGCAUUUGUGCUAAGUUAUAGCAUUUUAUAGACAACUUGUUGACUAUGAUUUGUCUUGUAGCUUACUCGCUUAUGUUAUUUUACCUACGCUUAGGAUGUUGAAGAUGUAGCACAUCAU
rnacentral:rRNA from 1 species